ACAUCAGGGAACAAACUAGGCAAGUUCUCUCCUCCGGGGAAGGCACAUAGAUAGGAAACAUAUCAAAAAAAUUAUAGCAGUAAUUUCAAAUUGUGCAGAAGAGCAGAGAAUGGGAGAGAGAAAGGGGAGGUAAGGGAGUUACCCCGGAUGGGGUAGUCAGGGCAGGACUUUCUGGGGAAGACGUUUGAACUGAAACUCAAAAGAAAAGAAGGAGGCAGCAAUGAAACCCUCUGGAGAAAGAACAUUCUAGGUGGUAGGAACAGCAAGUGUAAAGGCCGUCAGGCACAACAAGUUUGGGAGUGGUUAAUGGGAUGGAACACAAAAUGAAUUUCUUACUGUGAACUGUGGUUUAGAAAAAAAGAAAAAAGGAACCCACCGUGAGAGGAGAGCAGAAGAACGGAAGAACCAUCGUCGGGAGCACGGUGGGCCAAGGGGCAAAGUAUGAAACAGGAGAAGAUGCAGCCCAAAAGGAGGGGUCUGAGCACCAGGCGGUGAAGCCAGAGCACACAGGUGCCUUGCACAAAAGACGACGGCAGUGGAGUGAAUUGAUGAAAAGGUGCAGGAACAUGGACGGUCGGAUGGAUGGACAGACCAACCGAUGGAUGGACGGAGACGCAGUGAGCAGCCUUCCUGUCCACCUCAGCCCAGAUCUCAACUCUGCUCAUCCUCUGCCGGCCCAGGCUCAUCCAAAACCCGGUAAUUACUUGAGUGAUGACUCACGGGAGUGGUACCAAGCACAGCUCGCCUGGACUGGGGACGUACUGUGGACUCAGAAAUGUGGGAAACAGAAUUUCGAGCAUCCCUCGGGGCCAGAGAAAACCACUCCGGAGGAGCCAGGCUCUGCGUAAACCUGCGAGGAGCCUCAAUGGGAGAAAAUGAUUUAAUUAUCAGAGUGUCACCAAACAAAUCGUACGCCUCAUUUUUGGGUCCUCAAUGCUUACGGUUCCUACAGGAAAGGAGGGCCCAGCAAGACCUGCAAGUUAAAACGCCACUUCCUCCAAGAAGCCCUGCCAGAUGCAGCUACAUCGUCUCCUCCUUUCUUAAUUCCCUCUGAAUUAUGAGAAUUUUGUUCUCUCCCCGGUGUUAUUUCUCCCCUCUCCACAAGGAAGGAGCUCCGUGAAGGCAGAGACAAAAGGUGAUGCCUCUUUGCAAUUUCUGUUUCAACCAAACAAAAACUGUCACGGUUUCCGUUGACUCCCCUGCUAUCAGGCCUUCCCGCCACAGCCUCGUCCAUCCGAAGCGUCCCUAUCUCCACCCACAUGCCCAGACCAGCUGAGGCUUUGCCCCCUGCAGACUCAGGCGUGCAGAAAAUGUCCCACGUUGUUUCUUUGGCUUGGUCUAAACUCGACCCAGAGCUGAGCUUGAAGAUUGGCGUAUCCCUGACCAACCAGGAGGGGACCCCGGGCUCAUGGGGUCUGGACUGUGACAUAACAAGGAGCUAGCUCCCAGGAAGAGUCUAGAACCCACAGUGUGUUCUAGUCUGUGCAGGAGAGAACAGGGUAAGCCCAGCGGAUGAGCGUUUGAGCAGAGCCCCGCGGACGGGCAACCACCGACGCAUGCGCACUAAGGCAGGGCUUGGCCCCCACCGUCUAGUUCUGGGCCCCAGGCCCAGGACAGCUGGGGAUACAGGGAGGCUUAGAGCAGGGAGGACAGGCUUCCCUGGCCCCCGGGCUGGCCCUCACUCCUCGAGCCUCAGUUUCCCACCUGCAGAUUAGAUGACCUUGAGUCACUGACCUCCAGGGCCACGUAACACUGAGAACAUUCUGGAAUCCCAGAGCAUAGGCACAGCACAGGGAAGGUGUGCCCGGCGAGGCCAAGACACCCACCCCCCCAUCUUCCUGCCCAAGGAGCCAGCUGACCCUGAAAGCCUCGUUCGGCCCCCACACUCCCAGAGCCUUGAUGUGAAGCGUGGUCCUACCUGCUUUGUUUCUACGCAGCACAUGUGUGCUCAAUGCCGCGCCGGGGGCUGUGGCCUCGUUCCCUCGUGGGGAAAGGAGACAGCUGAGCGCCGAGGGGCUCUGCUUGGCCCAGGGGCGCCCGGGCGUGGCCUCCCCUUCCCUGGGCUACUGGCAAGGAGAGCAGGUCAUCCGUCCAUGCCUUCCACUGAGGCUGAGACUAGAUGUGAUUCAUCUCUCACGUUCCUAGAGAGCAGAACGUGGCUAACACAAAUAGGGAAUGAGUGAGGAAAUCCUUCCACUGCCGUCUUCACCGUCCACAAGCUCCAUGUGAGCCAAGAGAGGUACACGGCUACUUACAAAAGUGUGGCUUUCACGACGGGGACAGUAGCCAGAGCGAUGGAGGAGAGAGUCUUUCUCUGAGAAUGAAUGCCCAGGGGAGGGAGAUGAGAACAGAAGUAGAGUCUUAAAAAAACAAACAAACAAACAAAAAAAAAAACGCCAUGGAAGUCUUCUAGAAAA